GGUUCGUUGGUCUAGCGGUAUGAUUCUCGCUUAGGGUAACAACUCUGAGUAACAAAUUUGCGAGAGGUCCCGGGUUCAAUCCCCGGACGAACCC